ensembl:misc_RNA 7SK 7SK RNA
AGAUGUGAGGGCGCUCCAGCUGCAACAUCUGUCACCCCACUGAUGGCCAGAGUUGACCGGGCUGAUCUGGCUGGCUAGGCAGGUGACCCUUCUCCCCUCACUGCUCCAUGUGCGUCCCUCCCGAAGCUACUCGGUGGGAGAGGGUGACCUUCCCUGAGAAAGGAGGACCCUUCUGGGGUCAAGGGUAUAGGAGCAGCUGCGCCCCCUGCUAGAACCUCCCAAUAAGCCCUUCAGGGCCCUUUGUAGGAGAGAGUAGGGUAGUCAAGCUUCCACGACUCCAGACACAGCCAGAUGAGGCGCGGCAGGCCCCUCGCGCCCGGACUCACUCU